rnacentral:lncRNA from 1 species
GUGUCCAGUAGAUGUGCUGCUCUGAAGUGUCACAUCUCACCACCACGUCCUGGUUGAGCUUCCCCACCUGGACUGGAGGUGAGAGGCAGAGCCUGUGGUCAGAAGUGGGUUGUGGUAGGGGAAGAUUGUCCCCCAAACCACCAUGGGACCGGGUGUCCCUUGGCCUCACAACCUUGUCCCACGCUCCUCACCCUGCUGCACUCCACAUCCAUCCCCCCACUCCCUCACCCCAUUCCCACCCUCUAAUCUCCCAGCAGAGCUGUGCAGCCCCUCAGAGGGAUGUGGGGUUGGGAUGCCCCCCACUCCCCUGCUCCCCCCACCACAGUCUCCCCUAUGCCCUGGGAGCAGCACUCACACUUUGGGGGGAAGGCAGUCAGGGAUUCUGCAGGCACAAGGAACAGCGCCAGUCCCACCAGCACCAGCAUCUGGGAAGGAAAAGAGCAGGGACAUCACCCAGCAGAGUGGCACAGCCAGGGCAGAGCCCCCAGCUCUGGCAGCAGCACCCCCCUGAGACCCCCCCAACCCUCCUGGUCUGUGCCUACCUCUGUUUGUGCCUCUGGUGGGCUCGGCAGAGCCGGGGGCUGUGGUCUUAUAGUGGGCUGGACUCCACGGGGCUGCCCCAAGGUGCAGUCACAGCAGCAUCACAGUUCCCAGAAGUGCAGAAUGGGACGCUCAGCCCCUCGCCUCCCACCCACACCACUGCUGGUACUUCCCGGGGCAGGGGGCAGCACACACGCCCUGCCCUGGAAUGCCAGAGGAUGGGUCCCCCUGGGAACACCCACCGGGCAGCUGGGAUGGUUUUGGGUGGUCCCAGCUCUCUUAGAGGGGUCCUGAGCCCCUGCAGCACCUGAGGGGCUGCACAUCGCUGUGUGCUGCACAGAGCCCCCACAGUGCCCCUCUAUGGGGUGGGGGCACCUCGGAGGUCUAUCAGCACCUGUGCCGGGGGUCUGCAGAGGGGCAGCUCGGGGCUGGGCACCUCUGGGUGGGUUCCCAAGGAGAGGGGAGGGU